ensembl:lncRNA
CCCCACAGCGCCAUUCCGCCCCACACCCCCCUCCCAUCCCCCCCCCGUUCUGCUCAGCGCUGUUGGCCGCCGCCCCACCGCCGCUCCGCUCCAACUCGGCCAAAGGUUCCUCCGCUCCCCCCCCGCCCCCGGGAGAGGCGGCUGUAGGGCCGUCUAUGGGGCGGCGGCGGGGUGCCGAUCCCAAAGCGGAACCUUAUGGGGGCGACGCCACCGCGCUGCGCUCCAUUUUAGGUCUGCGGUGGGGCUGAGGGGGAACGGCCCCAUAGAGCCGCUGUGUGGCCGUGUGGGGCUGUGGGGUCUGCGCGGGGCUAUGGGGCCCAUGUGGGGCUAUGGGAUCCCAGGGUCCACUCAGCGUUAUGGGGUCCCAUGUUCCAUGUGGGGCUGUGGGGUCUGUGUAGGGCUAUGGGGUCUGUGCAGGGCUAUGGGGUCUGUGUAGGGCUAUGGGAUCCCAGGGUCCACUCUGGGUUAUGGGAUCCCAUGUUCCGUGUGGGGCUAUGGGGUCUGUGUAGGGCUAUGGGGUUUGUGUAGGGCUAUGGGGCCCAUGUGGGGCUAUGGGGUCUGUGUAGGCUAUGGGGUCUGUGUAGGGCUAUGGGGUCUGUGCAGGGCUAUGGGAUCCCAGGGUCCACUCAGGGUUGUGGGAUCUCAUGUUCCAUGUGGGGCUGUGGGGUCUGUGUAGGGCUAUGGGGCCCAUGUGGGGCUAUGGGAUCCCAGGGUCCACUCAGGGUUAUGGGGUCCCAUGUUCCAUGUGGGGCUGUGGGGUCUGUGUAGGGCUAUGGGGUCUGUGUAGGCUAUGGGGUCUGUGUAGGGCUAUGGGGCCCAUGUGGGGCUAUGGGAUCCCAGGGUCCACUCAGGGUUAUGGGGUCCCAUGUUCCACGUGGGGCUGUGGGGUCUGUGUAGGGCUAUGGGGUCUGUGUAGGCUAUGGGGUCUGUGUAGGGUAUGGGGUCUGUGUAGGCUAUGGGGUCUGUGCAGGGCUAUGGGGUCUGUGUAGGGCUGUGGGGCCCAUGUGGGGCUAUGGGAUCCCAGGGUCCACUCAGGGUUAUGGGAUCCCAUGUUCCAUUUGGGGCUGUGGGGUGUGUGUGUGGUUAUGGGAUCUGUGCAGGGCUAUGGGAUCCCAGGGUCCACUCAGGGUUAUGGGGUCCCAUGUUCCAUGUGGGGCUGUGGGGUCUGUGCAGGGCUAUGGGGCCCAUGUGGGGCUAUGGGAUCCGAGUGUCCGUGCAGGGUUAUGGGGUCCAUGUGGGGCUAUGGGGUCUGUGUAGGGCUGUGGGGUGCAUGUGUGGCUAUGGGGUCUGUGUAGGGCUAUGGGGUCCGUGUGUGGUUAUGGGAUCCCCGAGUCCAUGCAGGGUUAUGGAAACCCAUGUUCCAUAUGGGGCUGUGGGGUCUGUGCAGGGCUAUGGGGUCUGUUUGAGGUUAUGGGAUCCUGGGGUCCAUGUGGGGCUACGGGGUCUGUAUGGGGCUAUGGGGUCUGCAUGGGGCUAUGGGGUCUGUAUGGGGCUAUGGGGUCUGCAUGGAGCUAUGGGGUCCAUGUGGGUCUAUGGGGUCUGUAUGGGACUAUGGGGUCUGCAUGGAGCUAUGGGGUCCAUGCGGGUCUAUGGGGUCUGUAUGGGGCUAUGGGGUCUGCAUGGGACUAUGGGGUCUGUAUGAGGCUAUGGAGUCCAUGCGGGGCUAUGGGGUCUAUAUGGGACUAUGGGGUCUGCAUGGGGCUAUGGAGUCCAUGCGGGGCUAUGGGGUCUAUAUGGGACUAUGGGGUCUGCAUGGGGCUAUGGGGUCGCUGUGUGGUUCCCCCCCUCUCCCUCAUGGGGCCGACCAUACGGGGCUGCUGCUCACUGUGGGGUGCAGAGCUGCAGGGACCGCUUCAGCGCCGACCCGGUGGGACCCCCUUUGUUUCUUAUAGGGUCUCACAGAGCGCUCUGUUUGUUGUUGUGGGGUCUCCGCUCUGUUUGUUGUGGGGUCUCCGCUCUGUUAUGGGGUCUCCGCUCUGUUAUGGGGUCUCCGCUCUGUUGUGGGGUCUCCGCUCUGUUUGUUGUGGGGUCUCCGCUCUGUUAUGGGGUCUCCACUCUGUUAUGGGGUCUCCGCUCUGUUAUGGGGUCUCCGCUCUGUUAUGGGGUUUCCAGGGCGGCAGUGUUUACCGCUCACCCUUCCCCUGCUGGGCUCACUGCCCUCAGCGGCACGUGGGGAAACGGAGGCGCUGCCGGGGGGGGCACAGCGCUCCCCCCCCCCAAACCCCCCCCGGCUGUAGGGCCGCCAAGUGGGGGAUGGGUGAUGGCCGCGAUCCUAUGGGGCGGG